UUGAAAGGGAAACGAUUGAAGUCAGUCAUACCAACGGGAAAUCAACCUUUUGAGCUUUGUCUCGUGGGUUCGAAGAGUUUAAACGCCUUCGGGUUUGCGAGAUUGGGAUCCUCUGGUGUACUUUCUCGUACGGUUAGUCAACAUCGGUUUUGAAUGUCAUAAAAUGACUGGAGGAAUGUAGCUUCGAUCUCGUAUCGAAGUGUUAUAGCCUUUGGUAGAUGUGAUGUUUGAGACCGAGGAUUGCAACGGAUACCCCUUAAGGGCUAUUCGUCUGAUCUCUGAUACGUUACCUUGAUGUUGAAAGCUUGCUUAUGAUGUUAGGGUAUUACGGUCAAAAGGUUAGAACGGUUUAAAUUCGUUAAGGAUGUUGACGUA
rnacentral:rRNA from 1 species